AUUUGCUGCUCUGCUGGACCCUGAGUCUGGCGGCGGGCGGCCUCCUCUCCGCUCCCCGCCCGCCAUCCCCCAACUCCCGAUCUCUCUGCUGCGUCUGGCCUCAGGCUGAGACCCCAACGAAUCAUUCCCCGCAUGGGAACAUUUUAUGAUAUAACUGAAUUCAGUUUUAUGUAUAACUGAAUUACGGAUAUGAGAAUCUCAAAUGAGGACGAAUGGUUUUUACGCACAAAACAUGAGACACAAAUCUGUAAGAAAUAUAAAGUCGUGACCACGUCCUUUCAGAACUUUAACCUGUUUGCUGAAGUACGUCAGUAACAAUGGCAGGGAAAGGGUAUCUUAAAUUUCACCACAGCCUCAAAGAGGCCAUUUCGUGGAUCCGCUGAGGCUUGGAGUCGGCCUUCUGACCACGAGUCCUGCGGCUAUGAAAGAGGAAGCCGCGGUUCAGGGCGUCCUCGCGAGUCGUGCAGCCCGCCCUGCUCCAGCUGGGGACACCGGUGGUCACGGCGCUUUCCAGCUGCAGAUCCAGGCGGCAGCCCAAGAUUUGGUCCAGCCGCCAAGGGGUGGCUCGAGUGACUGACGGGCCUUGAACGCUCCCAGGACCCACAUCUGGAGAGGGAGGUGGGGGUGGGGUGCUGAAGUCAUUCUUGGGGCCCCUGGGGGCGGGCAUGGACCUGGGUAAGGCCAGAGAAAUUGACACCUCGUGACAUCCCUGGAAGAGAAGUACGUUCAGUGUCACUCCAGAGCUGAAACCGCCUUCUGGCUGGUCCCUCCUCACCUACAUACUUUUCUAAUUUGUCUGGAGCAGGCCGGGCAUCUGUAUUAUCUGGUUAUUUAAAUAUCUGGUUAUUUAAAAGCUCUCCAUUAAAUUCACAUACACGAAAAUAAAAAUUAAAAAAAAUUUUAAAAAAAAGAAACAAAAGCUCUCUAAUGACCAAGUCCUACACGAUAGUGAAUAAAUUUUUUUGUGUGGUCCCUAAAAUUGAGUUCAUGCCUUUUCUGAAGUAAUAGACGCCCAGAGAAGGGAUCGACUUACCCAUCAUGCCACAGAGAUUAAUUGGCCCCAGAAUUCUUUAGCAGACCGUGUAUAUGAACGUCCUUUGCAAUCAUAUAAAUUAACUGGGAAAACCUCAUUUAGUAUGUUACAUGCCUAGCGUUUUGUGCCUGAACACCUUACAAGAACCAGGGACUAUUGCCCCAAUAUUAUAUUUCAGGAAAGGAAGGCCCAGACAAAUGGUGUCACUGGUCCACUUUCACCCAGUUGGUAAAUGAAACCAGAAAUUAUAGCUGUACCACAGAAAGGUGAAAACGUUUCUUUUAUAAUUUCACAUACAAUCUUUAAUGGACCCAGUGUCCAACACAUUAAAGCAAGUGCUCAGGAGUGACAUCAAGAUGUAAAAAAUAGUCCUGUCCUCAGGGAGUUUAGGUCUUGGAGAAAAGAGACCCAAGGAGACACAAGACAAAGGGGAAAGAGAAGGAGCGCUGAAGACUGAGGACCCUGCCUGUGGACUGAAGUGAGGAUGGGGACACCCGAUGCCCGGAAUAUGACAGUUUGGAGGGGCCUGAAGGACUCUUCUAUUCUCUAUCAGAAAAACAGAAUUACUCUCCUAACCAGAAAAGGUAUUUCAAUUUAUAUUUUCCAUCACAGCACUUUUCUGGUGAUAAUUUAAUGUGUUUUAAAAAAUGUAUCACAGUGAUGGCCUGGUGUGAAAUAAAUAAUAAAAUUUUAAGAAUUAAAAAAUAUAAAAAUCUUUUAUAUAGACAUUAGGAGUUACAAGGAUAACUGUGAAUUAUAAUUAGUAAUUAAAUUGAAAUACUGAUUAUUUUCAUUUUUAUUUAAUUAUUUAAUAAAACCUAUUUAACAUUUAAUAUUUAUCAGUAAUUAAAUCUAAUUGUUAAUAUUUAUUAUUAUAAAUUAUUUUAGAAUUAAAAAUAAGUGUAGAAGCGAGGCAUGGUGGCUCAAGCCUGUAAUCCCAACACUUUGGGAGGCUAAGGUGGGAGGAUUGCUUGAGCCCAGUAGUUCAAGACCAGCCUGGGCAACAUGGAGAAACCCUGUCUCAAUACAAAAAAAUGAGCCAUGUGUGGUGGUGCGUGCCUGUAGUCCCAGCCAUUCUGGAGGCUGAGGUGGGAGGAUGACUUGAGCCUAGGCAGUCAAGGCUGCAGUGAGCCCUGAUCUUGCCACUGCACUCCAGUCUGGGCAACAGAGCAAGACCCUGUGUCAAUAUACAUAUGGACAAACUUAAAAUUUAAAAUGAAAGCAUACUACUGAUACAGAAUUGAGUAGAGAUGCAAAGCUAGUCCUAUAACCAGAACAAUAAAGAUAAAAAGGAGAGUGGAAGAAGGUAUGUCAUGAAUUUCAUGAUAAAUGGCAAUUGCAAAUAUCCUGUAGCAGAACAAAACAACAAAACUGUAGAUAAAACAUAUCCAACCCUUUGGAAGGCCAAGGAGGGAGGAUUGUUUGAGCCCAGAAGUUGGAGACCAGCCUGGGCAACAUAGUGAGACCCUGUAUCUAAAAAGGAAGAAAGAAAAAAAAAAAAAGGAUGAUAAAGUAGACAAUAUUGAAAGCCAUUUUCUGCAAAUACAUAGUGAAUUUGAUCAGUAAUUUUCUUCCAACAGUGCAAAAAUGAAUAGAUAUUAGUUGCCUGAAAUAAAAAUCAAAUAUCCAACAAAAAAUAUUGACUAUCUAAUAGUAUCUAAGCUAGUAAAUUUGGCCAGUUAUAAAAUGUCUUAAAUUUUUAUUUAAAAAAAGAAAACCAUAUUUAUAAGAAGAGGUGAUAAAGAGAAAUUAUUUCAGUUAUGAAGAUUUUGUUAGAAAACUAUGAGAAAAAAACUAUUUUUUGUUUUCAAAAAGUGAAAGAUUAAGUUACCAAACAGUUGCUAAAGAAUACCAGAUGGCUGAGCGUGGUGACUUAUGCCUGUAAUCCCAGUACUUUGGAAGGCCAAGGCAGGAGGAUCAUUUUAGGCCUGGAGUUCGAGACCAGCCUGGGCACUGUAGCAAGACCCGUCUCUAUUAAAAAAAAAAAAAAAAAAAAAAAAGAAUACAAGACCUUGCUAACAAUAGCAAAGAUCAAUUAAUUCAAAAUUUGAAAAACUGUAAUUUAUUUAGCUUUAGAGUACUCUCGUGAUAUGAGAUUGCCAAAUUAAUACUUUGGGUGCAUUUCUUUUCUCAAAGGACUUGCAAAUUUACAAAGAAGUGUUGAAGAAAAGCCACACAUUGGCAGGUAAUGUUUGCAAAAGACAGAUCUGAUGAAGAACAAUAUUUUUAGAAUAUACAAAGAAUACUUAAAACUCAACAGUAAGAAAAUAACCUGAUUUAAAGCAGGCCAAUGACCUGAACAUCUGUUCACCAAAGAAGAUACACAGAUGCAAGUAUGCAUAUGAAAAGAUGCUUGACAUCAUGUCAUUAGGGAACUGCAAAUUAAAACAAGUAGAUACCACUGCAUACCUAGUAGAAUGACCAAAAUUUAGAACACUGUCAGCACCAAAGGUUGCAAAGAUAUGUAGCAAUAGUAACUUGUUCAUUACUGGUGAGAAUGCAAAAUGUGCAAUCACUUUGGAAGACAGUUUGGUGGUUUCUUACAAAAGUAACCAUACUUUUACCAUAAGAUUCACCAAUCACACUCCUUAGUAUUUAUCCAAAGGAAUUGAAAACUUAUCUCCACACAAAAACCUGCACAUAGAUGUUUAUAGCAGCUUUAUUCAUAAUUUAUCCAAAACUUGGAAACAAGAUGUCUUUCAGUAGGUAAGUGGAUAACUGUGGUACUUCUGAAUAAUGGAAUGUUAUUUAGAGUUAAAAAGAAAUGCAUUCACUUUGGGAGGCCGAAGUGGGUGGAUUGCUUGAGGCCAGGAGUUUGAGACCAGCCUGGUCAACAUGGGAAAACCCCAAUUAGCCGGGCAUAGUGGCGUGAGCCUGUAAUCCCAGCUACUCGGGAGGCUGAGAUAUGAGAAUCGUUUGAACCUGGGAGAUGGAGGUUGCAGUGAGCCAGUGCCACUGCACUUCAGCCUGGGCAACAGAGCAAGACUCCUCUGUCUCAAAAAAAAAAAAAAAAAGAAAGAAAAGAAAAAAGAAAAAGAAAAAGAAAAGAAACGAUCAAGCCAUGAAAACACAUGAAGGAAACUUAAAUGUAUGUUACUAAAAAGCCAACCUGAAAAGACUGCAUACUAUAUGACUCCAACUGAUGCAGGGCAAGCAAGCCAAAAAUUAGGGCUUAGCCCGGGAAGAAUUCAAGGGUGAAGUGGUGGUGUUAGCAACUUUUACUGAAGCAGCAGUGUACAACAGCAGAACAGGUACUGCUCCUUGCUGAGCAGGGCUAACCCAUAAGUAAUGUGCCCAGAGUAGCAGCUCAGGGGCAGUUCUGCAGUAAUAUACCUGCUUUUAGUUAAGUGCAUGUUAAGGGGGAUUAUGCAGAAAUUUCUAGAAAAAGAGUGGUAACUUCGGAGUAGGUACAGAGGAAAGAAGUCGAUAAUGUCCUGUUGUUGCCAUGGCAACGAAAAACUGACAUGGCGCUGGUGGGCGUGUCUUAUGGAGAGGUGCUUUAACCUCGUCCCUGUUUCGGCUAGUCUUCAAUCUGGUCCGGAGUAAAGUCCCUGCCUCCGGAGUUCACUCCUGCUUCCUGCUUCACAACUGUAUGACACUCUAGAAAAGACAGUAACUAUGGACACAGUCAAAAGAUUAGUUGAUAGAAAUUGGGUGACAGGAAGUGUUGAAAAGGCAGAACACAGGAUUUUUAGGGCAGUGAAACUUCUGUGAUACUAUAAUGGUGAAUACAUGACAUUAUACAUUUGUCAAAACCCAUAGAAAGCACAACACCAAGAAUAAACCCUAAUGUAAAUUACAGACUUUCGUUGAUAAUGACGUGUCAAUGUAAGUUCAAUUGUAAUAAAUGUACUACUGUGGUGCUGGAUGUCUAUGGUGGGGGGACAUUUUUGCUUCAAUAGUUACAGUUGAAGUAAAUGUUUGUGUUUCCCACAAUGCAUAUGUAGAAACUCUCACAUUCAAUGUGAUGGUCUUUGGAGGUGGGCUCUUUGGGUGAUAGUUAGGUUUAGUUGAGAUCCUAGCAGAUCGAGUCUUCAUGAUGGGCAUGAUGGGACUGGUCCCUUAUAAGAAAAGACCAGAAAGCUAGCUCUCUCUUUGCCAUGUGAAGACAUAGCAGGAAGGUAGCCAUCUGCAAGCUAGGAAAGGGCCUUCACAAAGAAUCAACUCAGACCUCAGAACAGUGAGAGAUAAAUUGUCGUUGUUUAAGUCACUCAGGCUGUGGUAUUUUGUUUCAGCAGCCCAACCUAAGACUGUUAAUUGGAUUAGAAAUUUCCUUUUGGGGAUGGUGUGUGGCGGGCGGGGGGCGGGGAGUACCUUUGUUAAGCUUUUAUAUCAAUGAGUUUGUAGGCUUUUCUUUUUUGGUCAUUGACUAGGACAGUUUAAAUAGUAUGAGUGUGAAGGAGAUUGUUGGUCAUCUAUUCGAUGUCCCUUCUCUGUUUUUUAAUAUGAGAACUCCUGAUUUUCAGCCAACUACCCUGGAAAAAAAGCUAAUCUUUCUGACUUCUUAAGUGUGGCCAUGUACUAAAUUCUGGCUAAUGCAAGGCAAGCCAAAGGUUUUAUGAUAGGUUUUAGGACACUAGAGUAAAAGAGAGCUGUUGCACACAUGCUCUUCACCCUACUUUUGUGUCCUUUUUUCCAUCCUACAACUUGGGUUGUGAGUAUGAUGGCUGGAACUUUAGUGGCUCUCUUGGAUCCCAGGGGUAAUUGAGGGGUGGCUGGAAGGAAUCUGUGAUUUUCUGGAGUUUCCAUACACAAACAAGACCUGGAUUUUCUGGGCUUCCCAGACUUCCACAUCUAGACUUGCUUUAAAUGGGAGAGAAAUAAACUUGUUUCAGCCACUGUCAUUUUGGGCUAUUUUAUAGAACUUAAUCUAAUCUUCAAGGGUACAUGAAUUGCUUUUCCUUAAAAAAAAAAUCAGCCAUAAAAUCAUCUUCUUUUUUCUUUUGUUCCCCACAUUAUUUAGUUGGAGCUCUGUAACUUUUUUUUUUUUUUUUUUUGAGACAAGGUCUUGCUCUGUCACUUAGGCUGGAAUUCAGUGGCAUGACCAUGGCUCACUGCAGCCUUGCCCUCCUAGGCUCAAGCAAUCCUCGUCUCAGCCUCCUGAGUAGCUGAAACUAAGGCACAUGCCACCAUGCCCAGCUAAUUUCUUUUCUUUUAGAGAUGGGAGCCUUGCCCAGGCUAGUCUCAAACUCCUAGCCUCAAGUGAUCCUCCCAUCUCAGCCUCCCAAAGUGACAGGAUUACAGGUGUGAGCCACCAUGCCUGGCUGCUCUGUAAGUGUCUGAAUUUCAUUUUGUAUUUAUCAGUCUGUUUAGAUUUUCUUUCCCUUCUUGGGUCAGUUAGGCCAUUGGUUUCUUUUUAAAGGUUUUCAAAUUUAUUUGCAUCUAAUUCUUCAAAUUACUCUCAAAAUUAUUCCAGUAUAUAUUCUUUUGUUCCUAUUUUCUUCUGUAUUCUUUAUUAAAAUAGCUAAUGAUUUAUCUAGCAGGACUUAUAUUCUUUCCAUAACUUUCCUGCACCCCAAUUAAUCUCCAAUUUUAUAUUUCUUCUGGCCUUCCUUAUAGUUUCCACAGGUUUAUUUUAUUCAUUUUUUAAAACUUUUAUUUAAUUGUUUAUUUUAUUAUCAUUCUUUCUUAUUCAGCAAUCUAAGUGCUUAGGGAUAUAGAAUUUCCUCUAAGCAGCAUAUGCUAGGCUUUAACAAUGUUAGGGAGGCCUCCCCUUUCUGGGGAAGACCACACUUACAUUAACACAGGACUGUGGGAUAAAAAUCUUUUUUUUCUAUUCAUCUUAGGUUCUCCAUCUGUGGCCCUAUCAAGUAGACUAACAAAAGACAGAUUGACAAGACAGAAACAAAGCAUGUGCAUUGUACAAACACAGGGGAGUACUGAGAUGAAUACUCAAAAGAGGAUUUAGAACUUGGGCUUAUAUAGCAUUUUAAGAAAAGAAUACAUUUUUUAAGUGACAAGGAAGACGAAAAGGACUUUGAGUUUCUAGUGCAGUAAAUUGUGGGAAGGCAACUUUUUCUUUCCCUUUUUUUUUUUUUUUUUUUAAAAAAAAAGACUUCUCUGGUGCUAUGUCCAGGCUGAUAAGAGUCUAAAGUCUCUGGUGACUAACUUUUGUUCUUCCCCGAGUAAGAAGACACCUUCACAAUUUCAUAUCCUGCUUUUAGGCAAAUAGGGAGAGGGCAGAGGUGUUUGUUUGUUUUUAAUCUAUUUUUUUUCUCAAUUGUCUUCAACUCAAAAUACUUCUUAUGCCAAAGAUGGCAUAUUCUGCUACCCUUCACUUACUACUUACAACCCAGCCUCUAUCAUCAUAAUUAGAACUUCUGACCCUGGGGAACAUGGGCAAUAGUUUGAACUCUUUUAUAUCUCCCUUAGGCAGAGAUGGAGGCACAGCAUGAUCUUGGCUUACUGCAGCUGCUGCAGGCUCAAGCAAUUCUCC
rnacentral:lncRNA from 1 species